UAUGUGAUCGUCUCUCGCAUAUCAAUAAGCGGAGGAAAAGAAACUAACAAGGAUUCCCCUAGUAACGGCGAGUGAAGCGGGAAGAGCUCAAAUUUGAAAUCUUAAAGGGUUUCCCUUUACGAAUUGUAGUUUAAAGAAGUGUUUUCUGUUGAGGUUUUGGUAAAAGUUCUUUGGAAUAGGACAUCAUAGAGGGUGAGAAUCCCGUAUUUGACCUUUACUUUCAACUUUGUGAUACACUUUCAAAGAGUCGGAUUGUUUGGGUAUGCAGUCCAAAAUGGGUGGUAAAUUUCAUCUAAAGCUAAAUAUUGGCGAGAGACCGAUAGCGAACAAGUACCGUGAGGGAAAGAUGAAAAGAACUUUGAAAAGAGAGUUAAACAGUACGUGAAAUUGUCAAAAGGGAAGCGUUUGACACCAGUGUUGUUUUUCUGAAAAUCAAUUAAAGAACUGUUUAUGCUAAGCUGUUUAGACUUUAUCAGCUAACUGUUUAGUUUUGAGCUUUUCUUUAAUGCACUUUUCAGUUAACAAGUCAACAUCAAUUUCUUUUGCUGUAAAAAAGCUUGAGGAAGGUGGCUUGAGAUUCGUCUUAAGUGUUUAUAGCCUCUUGCCUAUGCAGUCGGAGAGAUUGAGGUCUGCAGCGUAGAUCCUUCGGGGCUAAAUGCAUUUGUGCUAAGUUAUAACAUUUUAUAGACAACUUGUUGACUAUGAUUUGUCUUGUAGCUUACUCGCUUAUGUUAUUUUACCUACGCUUAGGAUGUUGAGUCGUAGAGCACGCA
rnacentral:rRNA from 1 species